GAACCUUUAGCUCAGUUGGUUAGAGCGCUUCAUUGACAUUGAAGAGGUCGCUGGUUCGAGUCCAGCAAGGUUCA
rnacentral:tRNA from 1 species